UGUCCAGGGAUGGGAAUCGAACCCACAGUGUUCCGCUUACCGGGCAGAUGCCAUGUCCACACAUGCCGUUCCCAUCCCUGGAC